rnacentral:rRNA from 1 species
UUUUUAUAAACUUGUCACGAGAUUAUUUUUAAUAGUCAAAACUUUCAACAACGGAUCUCUUGGUUCUCGCAUCGAUGAAGAACGCAGCGAAAUGCGAUACGUAAUAUGAAUUGCAGAUAUUCGUGAAUCAUCGAAUCUUUGAACGCACAUUGCGCCCUC